rfam:Rattus norvegicus chromosome 2, whole genome shotgun sequence.
GGGGAUUUAGCUCAGUGGUAGAGCCCUCGCCUAGGAAGCGCAAGGCCCUGGGUUCGGUCCCCAGCUCCG